UCUAGUUACCGGUUUAAGCUCUAUUUGUUAAUUGGUAUGUGAGCAUUAUGAAUGAAAUAAUUUUGGUGUGUAGCUUCAAAAGGAAAAUAUGUGUGGUAUUUAAAAUCGUGAUUAGUUAUUAAAUAAGAGGUCAUUGUAGACAUUUAAAACUCUUUUUUUUUGUAAUCAAUUCACCUUGCAUUUAUAAACACGGAUAGGUAUACUAAAUGGGUGGAUUAAGCAGAAAAACCAUAAUUCUUCUUUGAAUUCAUGCACUUUCAAUUACAAUUAUUCAUUAGCUUUUGGAUAUGCAAUGGAAGGUUAAUAACUGAAAUUUUGUAAGCAGACCUAAAAAAGGAAGAAAGAUAAAAACUUAUCAUGAAAUUAUUGAAAAUACUGCUUUUGUACAGUAUUCUGAUCUCCAUGUAUGCAGAGGCUUGCAUUAGAAGUUCCGAAAAUUCUAAUCUUGGCAAACUUACAUACUUAGUAAAUAACCAAACAAUUCCAGAAAAUCAUAGACUAAAAUGUACAGAUAACGAGACACAAACAUUAGCCUGUUUGAAUGGAGGAUCAUGCUUUGCUGUGUAUGUAGCUGACAGAGUAGUGGGAUGUGCAUGUUUAAAUAAAUAUAUUGGUAACCUUGUGAAAUGAUAGACCCGGAAAUCAUAUUUGACCAAUCAGUAAGAGAGAAAGAAGUCAGAAUUGGAUUCAUUUCAGGUUUCACAGCAUUAAUCAUUUUAUUACUUAUUGUAAUUAUGAUACUUAUAUGGUUUAAAAUGAAAAGGAGCAAGAAAGCAAAAGAUACCAAAAGUAAAAGUAAUAAAGCAUCAGGUCAGAGUGAUCCAAACAAAUUGGUUGGGAAAUCAGGAGGUGACGACAACAAAUUUGUGAAACAACCAGAUAAAAUAAAUCCGGUAGAAUCCACGAGUUUACUGGAAAGAGAGAAUGCGACAUAAACUAGCGUUUCAACGAAUGGAAAUAACAUAAAGCUAUGAGACUAUUAUCAAUAAAGAUUGCUUUGUUUCCAUAGAGAGUGCUGAUUAUUCUAGUUUUAAAGCGAGAGAAGAUGAAAAUCAAAAACAUUCAGUCUCUUCAAAAUACACUGUUGUAAUUCCUUUCAUUUUUCAUGUUUCAUGUAUAUAAAAAUUAUGAAAAAUAAAGCCACAAAAAUA